UAUGGUUUCCAAUUGUUAGUUUUCCUUCCCUUUCUUCGGCCUUUAUUCUUUCAAUGUAUGUAUCUUCUCAAAUAUAUUUUAAUAACCAAAUCUCCCGCAACAACGUGCGGGGUAUUGUCUAGUUCAUCAUGUUUACGAUUACAAAUAACAAAGUUAUCUAAUAAAUCCAUCCUUACGAUUACAAAUAAAAUUCGUCCAGACAAUUGAAUGCCACUUAGCACUAAGUAACCAGCGGCAUGAAACAUUUUAGAAAUCACUAUUAUUUUCGAGAAAUCACUAUUAUAAAACUGAGUGCUGCUGUAGUUGAAAACUGAGUACCACCGAACUCGAAAAGUGUGUACUGCCGAACUUGAUCUUCAAUUAGCUUAAUUUGCAGAUGACCAGAGAUCUCCCAUCAAGUUACUUGUUCAGCCAUCUCUCCAGGACUAUAGCGACUAAAACAUUCUUAUCCAUGGCCUGGAAGCAACGUAGUAUACUGUUAAUUUUACUGUAGCCUUUAGGUUCACUUUUCUUCUCACCAAAACCUGAACUUUGCUACUGGCUAUUUGUAAAAGAAGGUCUGAAAUUUCAAUUUAACAUUACUCAUACCAACCAUAAAUACAGAGACAUUACUCUCUAUCCCUCAUACAUUAGCCGUCAACCACUUGUACAUAUGCCUGAAAAACAGAAUAUUUUUAGUUCUCAGAAGUAUAACACCAAACAUGUAGAGGCCCCCAACAGACAAGCACACUGAACACUAUAGGAUUAACAUCACUAUGCUAAACUGGUAGUGUUGAAAUCAAAGAUAUCUCAUAGAGAUAUUUUAUGUACCAAAUUAAUCAUAAUCACAUGAACACAUAACACAGAGGCUGCAGGUAUGAAUCAAAAGUAUACAGAGAAACAAGAAAAAAAAAGCAAAAACUCUGAAACAAAACAAGUCGUGCCAAUUACAAUGGUGGGAGUCAUCAUAUUGAAAUAGUCUGUGUCUUCUAACUAUUUACGCCAUUGUCUAAGUGUAGUAAUCUGGCACGAGAGAGUGCUAUCUAAAAUAAAACACACGCAUCUUAAGUCACUUCAACAUGGAUUUUCUUAAUACUACUAGAAGUCGUGUUACUAAACUUCAUCGCUGUGUGAUGAAACAAAAGGAGCUAACAAUUUGAGGUUAAUAACGUUGUAAGUAAAAACCUGAAAAGCAAUUGAAGUUCAUGAAACUAGUAGGCUCGUUCACAACUAACAUUAGUGUGAAAGAGAUACUCCCCUCCGUCGACCCCAUGAUUUCUGUCGAUAGGGCCCUUCUUGACUUAGGGCGCCUUGCUUUCCGUCGGGCCUUUGGGCCGGCGGAAUCCGCCGCCUGGCGUGAGUUGCUUGAUUGCGUUGCUCUGCACGAGCCGUUGGUGGAUGGGAGUCAGGACCUUGUGCGCUGGCGCCUGGAGCCUUCGGGCCAGUUCUCCACCAAGUCGUUGUACAUGGCCAUUGCCCCCUCCUCCGCCCCCCUCCCCCUAUCGUUGGUAUGGUCCGCCCGCGUCCCCCUGAAGAUUCGCAUCUUCAUGUGGCAGUGGAUUCGCGGUCGGGUCCCGUCUGGUGUGGAGGUCUGCAAGCGCAAUGGCCCGGGCACUGGUAUAUGCCCGCUCUGUGGGGUCCCUGAAGACUCGAACCACAUUUUCUUCGCUUGCGUCUCCGCCCAGUUCCUCUGGAGCUGUUUUCGCGAGGUUGUCGGUGGAAGUUGGUGCCACACCAAUUUCCCGGACUUAUUUGCUGAACUCCAGAUGUCCCCCGCGUCCUCUCGCCACAUUAGGUGGCUUGAGGUUGGGGUUCUUGCCUGGACUCUUUGGACCGUUCGCAAUAAGCUUGUGAUCCAGCGUACCCCCUUCGUCGCGCUACUGACGCUCUCUACAAACUCUCGGGUUUCUUGCAGCUUUGGCGGCCGCUUAGCCACCCCCUGGACCGGGACGCCAUCUCCGCCUUCAUCGCCGACCUCCGCUCGAUGGCCGUCCGCCUGUCGCCGCCGCCCCCUCCGCCCCCGCCGGAUCCAGACUAGACUCCUUGCGCCUGGAGUGUGUUGUUUUCUUUCUUUCUUUUGGGCUUGUUGAGUUGUGCCCUCAGCAGAACCUGUUUACUGUGUUGUGAGACUCGGGUGGUUUGUGUGUGUGAACUUGCUUCGGUUGUAUGUUUUGUGGCGGUUUGCUUUAUUUAUAAAGCGGGGCGAAAGCCUUUUUCGGUAUAAUUCAUCAGACACAUAUCAUAGAAUCAAUAUUAAAUGGAACUACAUAAAUGCAUAUCAAAUCUAGUGUUACAGCGGUAAAGAAUAUGGGGAAGAAAUUAACCAUAUUUUAAUGGAUAGCUUUGCAAGAUAGGAAAAUAGGUUAGUUCGAACAAACACCUUACAGUAUAUAAAAAUAAGCAAAGAUGAUGGUGUGGAUCUUCUUUACAGUAUCCAUGGCUACGGAAUAAACUAAAUUGAAGGAGCCUAGAUCGAAUCGCAUGAUUACUCGUCAAAAAAGAAGAUUACCAUCUGGUUUUCCUACAAAAAACAAACAAGCAAUAACCUCAAUGAACAAUCAUUCUUUCCUGUUAUACGAGAUAACUCCUGGAUUGAGGGUGGGCUAAACCAAAAAAUCUGUGAAAAUUGACAGGCUGGGUGAGGAUCAGCGUCCACCUCAUGGCAAUUGAAAUAAAUCUAACUUGAAUUUGCAGCAUCCUUGUAUAUUGACAAGCUGGGUGAGGGUUAGUAACUACGAAUGUAAGGUUUCCAACCACCCAUGUAAGAAAUCUAGCGUACCAUACAAAUUCGUUCAACAUUCGCCUUGAGCACAAUGUAAAAAUGUGAGAAGCAAAACUGAGAAGGUUAGUGUACUGCAGGUGUAUGAAUUGUUUUGAUGGAUGAGACAAAGAGCUACAAAUUUAC
rnacentral:lncRNA from 1 species